AUGGGAUGCCAGGCGAGCCGCCGGAUCCUCCUCCUCGCCACCAUAGUCGUCGCCGCCUCACUGCCACCACCCAGCGCGGCGCAGACGGCCAGCUGCGCCGACCUCGCGUUCUCCGGCGGCCGCCUCUACGCGGCAUGCAGCCCGCUGGAGGAGCUGGACGCCAGCGUCCACUGGACAUACCACGCGUCCAACGGCACGGCGGACGUCGCGUUCCGCGUGCCGGGGGGCUCGGCGGGGUGGGCGGCGUGGGCCAUCAACCCGUCCGCGGUCGGCAUGCUCGGCGCCAACACGGUGUUCGCCUACCACAACCCGGCCACCGGGGUGGUGGCGGUCGCGACGGCGGUCGUCGACAGCUACGCCCCCGCGUUCGCGGACGGGGACCUCGCCUUCGCCGUGUACAGGCGCGGCGCGGAGUACACCGACGGCGUGUACGCCAUCCACGCCACAGUCGCGCUGCCGGGGAACAGCACCAGGCAGAACAUCGUCUGGCAGGCCGGCACGUCGUCCCCGGACGGCCUGCCGGAGAGCCACCAGGCGUUCGGGGACAACGUCAUGUCGUCCCGCAGCUGGGACUUCAGGUCGGCCGAGGCGGCGGUCGUCGUCGAUGACGUCCCCGCCGCGCCAAGGGACAGCGUCUACCGCGCACUGCUACGCCCCAAGAAUAUCCAUGGCGUGCUGAAUGCUGUGAGCUGGGGCGUGCUGCUCCCUCUCGGCGUCAUGCUGGCGAGGUACAUGAGGGUGUUCCCAUCGCUCGAUCCGGCAUGGUUCUACCUCCACGUCGCCUGCCAAUGCAGCGGCUACGUGGUCGGGUCGGCCGGCUGGGUCUUCGGCCUCACGCUCGGCAGCCCGGCCAAAGGCGCCCUGCAGCACCAUGGCCACCGCAACAUCGGCACCGCGCUUUUCGUCCUAUCAACGCUUCAGGUUUCUGCCUUGCUGAUCCGCCCUAAGAAGACCGUCAAAGUUCGCUUCUACUGGAACCUGUACCACUGGUCCGUCGGCUACACGGUGGUCGUUCUGGGCGUCGUCAAUGUCUUCAAGGGCAUCGGCAUCCUGCAAGCUGAUCAGAAGUACAGGCACGCCUACCUUGGUGCCGUUCUGGUGCUAGCUGUGGUGGCCUUCGUCUUGGAGCUUGUGACGCUGACGGUCAGGUUCAAGAAGGGCCGGCGGUAA
rnacentral:rRNA from 1 species